CCUCAACUUCUAGAUUAUUAUUAUUAAUAAACAAUUGCCAACGCCUCAUAGACAAAAUGAUGAAUCAUCUCCCUCAAAUCUUUUCUUCUCUUAACGGUUCAAAGCUUAUGGAUUACGAGUUAAAUCAGCUAUACUGUUAAAUAUCCCAAUUGGAAACACACGACCUGGAAGAGGAAGAGAAUGGAUAAAACAUAAACGCCAAAUAUUUAUGAAAUUAAUCCAUGUCUGGUAUAGCUGUGUAAUUUCAUGGCAGGGGAGAAUUGUGGAUCCUUCAAAUGAGGCCUCUUUUCGUUAGUUUGAGGGGAAUUACACAUCCUUUUCUGAGAGGAAUGUCAAUCCAACUGCUAUGGAAAGGAUUACUUGACGAAACAUUUCUUGCGGCAGCAGAGGAAGUUGUUUGAGUGCCCACAUGGAGACCAACAUAUUGUGUGUGAAAUAUGUGGAACCAAGGGGCAUCAUCACACAGAUAAAUGGGUCUACUUUGGAUAGAAUGAAAUGUGAGUUCCAAGACUA